AGGUUGUGGUUGUCCUUCUUCUGCCGCUCCUUCAUCAGAGCUUUGGUCUCCACGUCUACAGACACAAGGAGAAGGAGGAGGAGGACCAGUCAGAGCUGAUGAGCAGGAAAACAGGAGGGUUCUACUGCAGAUCGGACCGGACCGGGUCUGCGUUACAUUUGUCACAUUUACCUGUUAGCUCCUGCUUGAUGGCAUGCAGGUCGGCCGGGCAGCUGUUGCUAACGGCGACGGUGGGCGUGGACAUCCCUCCGUAGACAUCCAGCAUGUUCCCGGCUGCCGGCAGCUGCAACGGGCCAAUCAGAGGAUGAGAAACACGCCCUGCUGCAGCUUUAUGUGUCUGAACAGAUCCAGGCCUGCAGAGCAGUUGUGACUCAUCACAACUUCACCUUCUCCCAACAAAAUCCAGCUGUACCCAAAACAAGGUACCGAGCCGUUUCCCAGAACUGAUCUGAUCCGGCUCUGAAUCCCAGUGAGGACAAACAGAUUCAUGGAUCCAACAGCAGCGUGAGAGCAGAGGAGGACUGGCUUCCCUCAGUCUGAAGAGGAGGAGGGAGGAGGAAGGAGGAGAUUCCUGACUGAUGAGUCAUCACUGAAGGUUCAGGGGUCAAAGAGAGGCGCAGAGAGGGGCGAGGUGUUGCUGCGGGCGCCGGGAUGAAAUGAGGAUCUGCAGCCGGGGAUACAGAAGGAAGCAGCGGGGAGCAGAGACAGAGGAUGAGGAAGAAAUCUGGUGAUGAAGUCUGACACCGA